UUCUCUCUCUCGACGAUUUCGACUCCCAAAUCCAGACACAAACGCACAGAUCAUCCACAGCAGAAGCCAUCGUCAAGCCGCAACCGCUGCGUGCUCAAAUUUCCCCAAAUCAUCUAUUCCUCGAUCGUUUUUGCUCAGAUUUGGAGGCGGAAUUGAGCUGAAUUUAACGAACGUAAAUCGCAUCGCAUCGCACAUGCGGCGUUCGAUGGCAUGCACCACAUAGGAUACGUGGCCUCGCCGCCGUUGGUUUCGAUUUAGGCGUGAAUUGGAUAAUACGAUGUCGCAUCUGCUGGUGAAACUGCGGCGGCAGGCGGUGGCGCCAUGCAUGACAUGCCCGCUCUGCCACAAGCUCUUCCGCGAGGCCACCACUAUCACCGAGUGCCUCCACACAUUUUGCAGGAAGUGUAUAAACAAGAAGCUCUCAGAUGAGGAAAUGGAAUGCUGUCCAGUAUGCAAUAUUGAUUUGGGAUGUGUUCCAUUGGAAAAGUUGAGGCUGGACCAUAAUUUGGAAGAUGUGAGGGCAAAAAUAUUCCCUUAUAAGAGGAUGAAAGUGAGAGCUCCUGAAGUUGUAUCUCCUGUUACAUUACCUGCUAAGAGAAAGGAAAGAUCUCUCUCAUCAUUGGUAGUUAGCACUCCUAGGGUUUCAACUCAGAGUGGAAUAACUGGACGACGAUCAAAAUCCAUAACCAGGAAAGCAUCAAGAGGUUCCAGUUUCACUAUAGAGAAACCUAUUAUAAAAGAAGAUAACUCCAUGGAUGAUCACCAUGAAAACUCUAACUCACCUGAGACACUAAAUAGAUCUACUCAGAAUAUGAGGCAGAGUUCUGUUGCUAGUGAUCCAUCCAAUCACCCUAGUCCUGAUAAGGGAAGAGAGAACGGAUCUGAGACUUGGGAAGAGAUGGGUGAUCUUUGGAAACCAUUGAAUUGUUUGGUGGAGGCAGCAAAUAGAAGCAAGUCUUCAAAGUGUAACAUGCAAGGAGAUCUAGCUAAAUCAGAAGCUCCAAAUUCCCAUGACAACGAGGGACCUCCAAAUAAAAGCAGAAGUAAAGAAAACAGGCAGAAACCAAAGGUUCAAGAUUUCAAGAAUUUCAAUGACCACAUCCCUCCAGAUUCUGGAAGGCCCAAAAAGUUCCGCAAAGCUCGUCAAAAGAAGGCGCAGGAAUUCGCAGAAUUUAGACUCCCUCCCCAGGUUGUGUUAGGUGCUGGUGCUAAAUUCGACCGCAAGAAUCAUCCAAUUUGGUUUUCACUGGUAUCAGAUGGGCAGGAAGGCGAUGCACUGUCCUUGCCUCAGAUAGCUGCAAGUUACUUGAGAAUUAAGUGAGUUUGGACAAACUACUAUUAUCUUAACAUUUUCUUGUAUUGCACAACUAGAAUGAUUAAAAAUUAUCCUUGGUAACUUAACUUGGUCAGAAUGAACCUUCAGAUGCUAGUAUUGCGUUACGAGAGUAAGUUCCUCGAAAAGAUAUGUACAAAUGUAUUUGGUAUUUAUGAAACUGCCCUCAUAAUUUAGAUCAUUUGGGCGUGAAUGUAUUUUGGUUGGACCAAAUCAAUAGAAUUCACAGCAAUAGUCAUUCGUUGUUAAGUUUUUCUAACUUAGGUAUGACUUUGAUAUCUGAAAAGUUUCAUGUUGGCACAGUUUUCUUCCAAAAACAUUUAUACGCUUGAACGUUUUACUCGUAACACAUUUCCACUCUUCAAAGACGCCUCUAAGCAUCUCUUUACAAUGUAAGACUUGUUAAGUCAACUGAACUAUUUGACUAUUUCCCUUUUCUGCAAGGAAUUGCUUCCAGUGUAAUAAUAUGCUUAUCAUCUGUUCAUGCAUAUACUAUCUCUACCUACAUAUUUUAGGCUUCUGCUGCUUUUGCUCAGUGCUUCAGCUUUUGAUUUUACGUGACUAUAGUCUAUAAUUGUGCUUGUAUCAGUGAUGCAACAAUAUCUGGGAUUUUUUAGGAUGACUAUUGUUAUUGGCAGGCUAAAUUUCUCCACAGCAUACAUCUAUGAUUUCAGUGCUGAUAUAUAUAUUUACAGAUUACCACUCAAUCAUUUGGGUCUGUUUUGCCUGUUUGGAGGAUCUUUUUUAAUGGUGGAUCAGGGCUAUUUUCUUAUUAUGAAUAGCUGCCUCUUAUCAUAUAAUUGAAUCCAAAUGCAUAUUACAAAAGUCCUUGGCUUGCUCUUAGAUAUGAAUUGUGUAACCAAUCCUCAUGCAUUGUCUUGCUUUCCGAUAUUGCUUCGUGCUUAAUUUCUCUACAUAAAACAUGCUUAUCGUUUUCUUUGUUGGUUGGUUUUUCAACCAUUGUAAUCAUUUGAUGCCAUGGAAUAUCUCAGUAGCAAUCUAGCAAGAGAAAGUCAGUUUGAACUUAAUGAGGAAGAGCUCAUACUUGCAGGAGGUUUCUAAUAUACACAAAAUUAGUUUGUUUUUCUUCCCCGCUUCAUGAAUUUUUCUUAGCUAUGUUUUUCAGCCAGAGAAAUAGCAGAAUUCUGAAUUUGGUUAGUCUCCACUUUCAUUUGUAAUCAUGCUUCAUCACUAUUUUGAUCUUGCCUUUCUGCGCAUUCGUUCUCGGUGAUCUUCUUGAGGAGGUUUAAGUACAUAAGGAAAUCAUAAGUGGAUGGGGGCAUGCCGGUUUCUUGCAUUCA